rnacentral:rRNA from 1 species
AGAGAUUGAACUGAAGAGUUUGAUCCUGGCUCAGAUUGAACGCUGGCGGGAUGCUUUACACAUGCAAGUCGGACGGCAGCACGGGCUUCGGCCUGGUGGCGAGUGGCGAACGGGUGAGUAAUGUAUCGGAACGUGCCCAGUAGCGGGGGAUAACUACGCGAAAGCGUGGCUAAUACCGCAUACGCCCUACGGGGGAAAGCGGGGGACCUUCGGGCCUCGCACUAUUGGAGCGGCCGAUAUCGGAUUAGCUAGUUGGUGGGGUAACGGCCUACCAAGGCGACGAUCCGUAGCUGGUUUGAGAGGACGACCAGCCACACUGGGACUGAGACACGGCCCAGACUCCUACGGGAGGCAGCAGUGGGGAAUUUUGGACAAUGGGGGCAACCCUGAUCCAGCCAUCCCGCGUGUGCGAUGAAGGCCUUCGGGUUGUAAAGCACUUUUGGCAGGAAAGAAACGGCACGGGCUAAUAUCCUGUGCAACUGACGGUACCUGCAGAAUAAGCACCGGCUAACUACGUGCCAGCAGCCGCGGUAAUACGUAGGGUGCAAGCGUUAAUCGGAAUUACUGGGCGUAAAGCGUGCGCAGGCGGUUCGGAAAGAAAGAUGUGAAAUCCCAGGGCUUAACCUUGGAACUGCAUUUUUAACUACCGGGCUAGAGUGUGUCAGAGGGAGGUGGAAUUCCGCGUGUAGCAGUGAAAUGCGUAGAUAUGCGGAGGAACACCGAUGGCGAAGGCAGCCUCCUGGGAUAACACUGACGCUCAUGCACGAAAGUGUGGGGAGCAAACAGGAUUAGAUACCCUGGUAGUCCACGCCCUAAACGAUGUCAACUAGCUGUUGGGGCCUUCGGGCCUUGGUAGCGCAGCUAACGCGUGAAGUUGACCGCCUGGGGAGUACGGUCGCAAGAUUAAAACUCAAAGGAAUUGACGGGGACCCGCACAAGCGGUGGAUGAUGUGGAUUAAUUCGAUGCAACGCGAAAAACCUUACCUACCCUUGACAUGUCUGGAAUCCCGAAGAGAUUUGGGAGUGCUCGCAAGAGAACCGGAACACAGGUGCUGCAUGGCUGUCGUCAGCUCGUGUCGUGAGAUGUUGGGUUAAGUCCCGCAACGAGCGCAACCCUUGUCAUUAGUUGCUACGAAAGGGCACUCUAAUGAGACUGCCGGUGACAAACCGGAGGAAGGUGGGGAUGACGUCAAGUCCUCAUGGCCCUUAUGGGUAGGGCUUCACACGUCAUACAAUGGUCGGGACAGAGGGUUGCCAACCCGCGAGGGGAGCCAAUCCCAGAAACCCGGUCGUAGUCCGGAUCGCAGUCUGCAACUCGACUGCGUGAAGUCGGAAUCGCUAGUAAUCGCGGAUCAGCAUGUCGCGGUGAAUACGUUCCCGGGUCUUGUACACACCGCCCGUCACACCAUGGGAGUGGGUUUUACCAGAAGUAGUUAGCCUAACCGCAAGGGGGGCGAUUACCACGGUAGGAUUCAUGACUGGGGUGAAGUCGUAACAAGGUAGCCGUAUCGGAAGGUGCGGCUGGAUCACCUCCUUUAAGA